UUGUGUAAUACGAAAGAUGCGAAACGGCAUUGAUAUUUGGCCAAUUGUUGUUGGGCGUAUGGUCGUAAGGAUUUUUGGACGGAGAAGAGUUGAAGAUUUUGUCUGAGAAGCAAGGGCUGCUUAUUGUUGUCGUAGGCAGAUAAGUUUAUACUAUCCUGUUAUUCUAUUUCUUAUUCUUGGAUUGCAAGUUACGUCCUAGUCGCCAUGUUGGAUGAUUUUAACAAAGAUUUCCCUUAUUUACAAUGCAAAUUUAAUCCAACAUGGGGGUAUUCCAUAGUUCUCAUACUCCCAGGGGGGUGGUUGCAACCCUCCAAAAGCUCUCUUUGAUUUAAUAAUAAUAUGAAAAUAGUUAAAGUCUUUCUAUUCUGAAAUCUUUCUUGUUAAUGUGAACGUAACAGAUCAGUUCAAACACUAAGACAUAUUAAUUUUAUAUUGUUUGUAUUUCAUUCUUUUUAUGAUACGUUAACUCUUGCUUUAAGAGAUAUUAGUGAUUAAAUGUGUUGCAAGUCGAGGCGAAAAGUUCGGCGCAAUCCGACGGACUUUUAAUACAUCUCCCGAGGCUUAAGAACAUUUAAUCAUUAAUAUCCCUGAAAGCAUGCGUUUACUUUUUAAUAACAUGGUUUCAGAAGGAAUAAUCAAUGCACGAAACUCUUCAGUUUGACAAUAAUGAAUUCAAUUUUGAGCUCACUUAGAGGCUGAUUACAUGAGCUCGGGUAGCCGGGAUUCAGCGAAGCAAUAAGUGAUUUUGCCAAAUUCAAACGAUUCAAUACUUAUCAUCAGAUAAAUCUUCUCGAGCAAUUUCACAAUAUUAUGGUUUGAUAACUAAAAAUAACAUUUAAAAUUACAGUAACCAAUUUGGCCUAAUUUGACAAUUACAACAGGAAUGACUUGUUGUGCUAUAUAAACAGUUGUAAUUUUUACGCUUGACGUUUCGACUCCUUUCAAUGCGUCGAAAUCAUUUCACGCCUCACUGAAUCCCGGUUACCCGGGAUCAUGUAAACAGCCUUUUACUUUAAUAUUGACAACCAUCGAUGGUGUUUGAAGCGCACAUUGUUCAUGGUCAGUUGUGGAAUAAACAAAUUCAUCUAGCUAUUGAAUUGUGAAUUCUGUUUUUAAAUUGGUUUAGUGAAGCUAUGUAUUAUUUGCUCUGCAAAUACAUAUACUGUACUUUGAUUAUGGUUGAAGUUAUUGAUGGUGGAUCACUGGUUUCCCCAAGUUGGCAUGUAACAAGAAAUUUUCUGACUCGAGGAAAAGACGAUUUCUGUUACCUUUCAACGACAUAAAUUGUGAGGCAAUAAGCUUAUAAUAACGCAAGUUUGGUGAUUUUCAGCGUUCAAACAAGAGGACUUUCGAUUUGUUUAGAUGCAUUAAUUUUGCUUCGGCGCUUUGUCUAAACAGAGGUAAAAUAUCAAAGACUUAUCUUCUAUAACAUUGCUUCGUCAACCAAUGUAUGUAUCUUAAUUUUUCUCUGUUUCCAAAUUUUUUAACACAUUUAAAGUAUUAUUGUUGAUUCGUAAAGGUUAUGAUUUGAGGCAAAACAAAAUUCAAUAAAAUGUUAAAUAUUAGUGGCAGUCGGCAUAAGUGCAUGUUUAUAUAUUCUCAACACACGCUACUCCACACUGGACGAAACAGCUUUGGCCAGCACUUACAAAUAAAACUUUACGAAAACCA